AUUGAACGCUGGCGGCAGGCCUAACACAUGCAAGUCGAGCGGAUGAAGGGAGCUUGCUCCUGGAUUCAGCGGCGGACGGGUGAGUAAUGCCUAGGAAUCUGCCUGGUAGUGGGGGAUAACGUCCGGAAACGGGCGCUAAUACCGCAUACGUCCUGAGGGAGAAAGAGGGGGAUCUUCGGACCUCACGCUAUCAGAUGAGCCUAGGUCGGAUUAGCUAGUUGGUGGGGUAAAGGCCUACCAAGGCGACGAUCCGUAACUGGUCUGAGAGGAUGAUCAGUCACACUGGAACUGAGCCACGGUCCAGACUCCUACGGGAGGCAGCAGUGGGGAAUAUUGGACAUAGGGCGAAAGCCUGAUCCAGCCAUGCCGCGUGUUUGAAGAAGGUCUUCGGAUUGUAAAGCACUUUAAGUUGGGAGGAAGGGCAGUAAGUUAAUACCUUGCUGUUUUGACGUUACCAACAGAAUAAGCACCGGCUAACUUCGUG
rnacentral:rRNA from 1 species